CGUGCCUAAUACAUGCAAGUCGAACGCACUCUCGUUUAGAUUGAAGGAGCUUGCUCUGAUUGAUAACAUUGAGUGAGUGGCGGACGGGUGAGUAACACGUGGGUAACCUGCCCUAAAGUGGGGGAUAACAUUUGGAAACAGAUGCUAAUACCGCAUAAAACCUAACACCGCAUGGUGUAGGGUUGAAAGAUGGUUUCGGCUAUCACUUUAGGAUGGACCCGCGGUGCAUUAGUUAGUUGGUGAGGUAAAGGCUCACCAAGACCGUGAUGCAUAGCCGACCUGAGAGGGUAAUCGGCCACACUGGGACUGAGACACGGCCCAGACUCCUACGGGAGGCAGCAGUAGGGAAUCUUCCACAAUGGACGAAAGUCUGAUGGAGCAACGCCGCGUGAGUGACGAAGGUUUUCGGAUCGUAAAACUCUGUUGUUGGAGAAGAAUGUAUCUGAUAGUAACUGAUCAGGUAGUGACGGUAUCCAACCAGAAAGCCACGGCUAACUACGUG
rnacentral:rRNA from 1 species